UACAGAUGGGGCAAGCGUUGUUCGGAAUUACUGGGCGUAAAGGGCGCGUAGGCGGCCUGUUAAGUCGAACGUGAAAUCCCCGGGCUCAACCCGGGAACUGCGUCCGAUACUGGCAGGCUUGAAUCCGGGAGAGGGAUGCGGAAUUCCAGGUGUAGCGGUGAAAUGCGUAGAUAUCUGGAGGAACACCGGUGGCGAAGGCGGCAUCCUGGACCGGCAUUGACGCUGAGGCGCGAAAGCCAGGGGAGCAAACGGG
rnacentral:rRNA from 1 species